UGGCUCAGAUUGAACGCUGGCGGCAUGCCUUACACAUGCAAGUCGAACGGCAGCRCGGGGGCAACCCUGGYGGCGAGUGGCGAACGGGUGAGUAAUACAUCGGAACGUGUCCUGGAGUGGGGGAUAGCCCGGCGAAAGCCGGAUUAAUACCGCAUACGAUCUCRGGAUGAAAGCGGGGGACCGAAAGGCCUCGCGCUCAAGGGGCGGCCGAUGGCAGAUUAGCUAGUUGGUGGGGUAAAGGCCUACCAAGGCGACGAUCUGUAGCUGGUCUGAGAGGACGACCAGCCACACUGGGACUGAGACACGGCCCAGACUCCUACGGGAGGCAGCAGUGGGGAAUUUUGGACAAUGGGGGCAACCCUGAUCCAGCAAUGCCGCGUGUGUGAAGAAGGCCUUCGGGUUGUAAAGCACUUUUGUCCGGAAAGAAAACCUCCGUCCUAAUACGGUGGGGGGAUGACGGUACCGGAAGAAUAAGCACCGGCUAACUACGUGCCAGCAGCCGCGGUAAUACGUAGGGUGCAAGCGUUAAUCGGAAUUACUGGGCGUAAAGCGUGCGCAGGCGGUUCGCUAAGACCGAUGUGAAAUCCCCGGGCUUAACCUGGGAACUGCAUUGGUGACUGGCGGGCUAGAGUAUGGCAGAGGGGGGUAGAAUUCCACGUGUAGCAGUGAAAUGCGUAGAGAUGUGGAGGAAUACCGAUGGCGAAGGCAGCCCCCUGGGCCAAUACUGACGCUCAUGCACGAAAGCGUGGGGAGCAAACAGGAUUAGAUACCCUGGUAGUCCACGCCCUAAACGAUGUCAACUAGUUGUCGGGUCUUCAUUGACUUGGUAACGAAGCUAACGCGUGAAGUUGACCGCCUGGGGAGUACGGUCGCAAGAUUAAAACUCAAAGGAAUUGACGGGGACCCGCACAAGCGGUGGAUGAUGUGGAUUAAUUCGAUGCAACGCGAAAAACCUUACCUACCCUUGACAUGUACGGAAGUCUGCUGAGAGGUGGAUGUGCCCGAAAGGGAGCCGAUAACACAGGUGCUGCAUGGCCUGUCGUCAGCUCGUGUCGUGAGAUGUUGGGUUAAGUCCCGCAACGAGCGCAACCCUUGUCCCUA
rnacentral:rRNA from 1 species